UUAAAUUGAAGAGUUUGAUCAUGGCUCAGAUUGAACGCUGGCGGCAGGCCUAACACAUGCAAGUCGAACGGUAACAGGAAGCAGCUUGCUGCUUUGCUGACGAGUGGCGGACGGGUGAGUAAUGUCUGGGAAACUGCCUGAUGGAGGGGGAUAACUACUGGAAACGGUAGCUAAUACCGCAUAACGUCGCAAGACCAAAGAGGGGGACCUUCGGGCCUCUUGCCAUCGGAUGUGCC
rnacentral:rRNA from 1 species